UACGUAGGGUGCGAGCGUUGUCCGGAAUUAUUGGGCGUAAAGAGCUUGUAGGCGGUUUGUCGCGUCUGCUGUGAAAUUUCGGGCGUCAACCCCGAACUGCAGUGGGUACGGGCAGACUAGAGUGUGGUAGGGGAGACUGGAAUUCCUGGUGUAGCGUGAAAUGCGCAGAUAUCAGGAGGAACACCGAUGGCGAAAGGGCAGG
rnacentral:rRNA from 1 species